UGGGGGAUAUUGCACAAUGGGCGAAAGCCUGAUGCAGCAACGCCGCGUGAGGGAAGACGGUUUUCGGAUUGUAAACCUCUGUCUUCGGUGAAGAAAAAAAUGACGGUAGCCGAGGAGGAAGCCACGGCUAACUACGUGCCAGCAGCCGCGGUAAUACGUAGGUGGCGCGCGUUGUCCGGAAUUACUGGGUGUAAAGGGAGCGCAGGCGGGGAGACAAGUCAGCUGUGAAAACUAUGGGCUUAACCCAUACACUGCAGGUGAAACUGUUUUUCUUGAGUGGAGUAGAGGUAGGCGGAAUUCCGAGUGUAGCGGUGAAAUGCGUAGAUAUUCGGAGGAACACCAGUGGCGAAGGCGGCCUACUGGGCUCUAACUGACGCUGAGGCGCGAAAGUGUGGGGAGCAAACA
rnacentral:rRNA from 1 species